rnacentral:rRNA from 1 species
CCUACGGGAGGCAGCAGUGGGGAAUAUUGGGCAAUGGGCGCAAGCCUGACCCAGCACCGCCGCGUGAAGGAAGACGGCUUUCGGGUUUUACACUUCUUUUUUCAGGGACGUAGAAUGUGACGGUAUCUGCUGAAUAUGCCACGGCUAACUACGUGCCAGCAGUCGCGGUAAUCCGUAGGUGGCAAGCGUUCUUCGUCUUGAUUGGGUGUAAAGGGCGUGUAGGCGGGAGCGGAAGUUAGAGGUGAAAACUCGGGGCUCAACCCUGAGUCUGCAUUGGAGACUGUAUUUCUUGAGUUCAGUAGAGGCAGGCGGAAUUCCUGGUGUAGCGGGGAAAUGCGUAGAUAUAAGGAGGAACACCAGUGGCGAAGGCGGCUUGCUGGACAGUAACUGACGCUGAGGCGCGAAAGCGUGGGGAGCAAACAGGAGUAGAUACCCUAGUAGUC